rnacentral:rRNA from 1 species
AGUGAACGCUGGCGGUAGGCCUAACACAUGCAAGUCGAACGGCAGCACAGUAAGAGCUUGUGCUUACGGGUCGCGAGUCGCGGGGGGGUGUAGUAUACAGCAGACUCUACGUUUUCGUGGGGGAUAACGUAGAGACACUAACUCUUAUAGCGUAUCGUCCCUACAGCAGAGAGCAGGGGAUCCUCGCCCCUUGCGCUAUGGAAUGCCCAGAUGUCGGAUUAGCUAGUUGGGGGGGUAAAGGCCCACCAAGGCGACGAUCCGUAGCUGGUCUGAGAGGAUGAUCAGCCACACUGGAACUGAGACACGGUCCAGACUCCUACGGGAGGCAGCAGUGGGGAAUAUUGGACAAAGGGCGCAAGCCUGAUCCAGCCAUACCGCGUGUGUGAAGAAGGCCUUCGGGUUGUAAAGCCCUUUUGUUGGGAAAGAAAAGAAUAAGGUUAAUACCCCGCUGUUCUGACGGUACCCAAAGAAUAAGCACCGGCUAACUUCGUG